AUCCCUGUCGCGCAAUCAAUAGCGCGUUGGACUUCUAAUCUGAAGGUCGUGGGUUCGAAUCCCACACUUGGGAUA
rnacentral:tRNA from 1 species